GCGCGGCUACUGUGGGAGCGAGGCGGGCGCGCGCGCGUGCAGGCUGCAGCAGAGCCCGGCAGGGGAGUCGCUCGCGCUCCUCUCGCCCAAUCAUUUGGACCGGCCGGGCCGCGCGGACACACCUAUCGCCUCUGGCUCGGUGCGGCAGCAGCAGCGCCGCGGGGCGUGGAGCGCGGGCGCAUGGAGACAAGCUGCGCGCAGGGACAGUCCCGCGGGGACUGAACUGCCGGGGCCCGCAGGUGCCUAACGCAGCCCACAGACUUCUUGAAUUGUUGGUACCAGAUCUGGACCCAGUAUUCCAGCAAUGGCUGCACCAGUGCAUACCAAAUACAGAGGGCAUAAUGACCACCUGAAACAACAUGCUCGGACUAGCAGAGUAUGGUGAUGGCUGUAAGUGAGGCGAGGAAGACUGAUAUGUAAAGAUGUACCCAGAACCAGUUUACUGCAUCAAGGAAAGAUCUUAGUACAACCAGUAAUUGUAACAUGCCUAGGAUGACUUCUGUGUGGGCUUAUGAAUCAUGCAGCCAAUGUUAACCUGAAUCACAGGAACUUAUGGUUGUUUGCAAUUAUAGAUGGCACUUAAAGCUUUCUGCAACCCUGCUUAUACUGUACACAUUUAUCCCGCUAGAAAGCUAUUUUUGUAAGUUACUGAAGCAAAUUUGAAAAUAAACCU